AGAACGAACGCUGGCGGCAGGCUUAACACAUGCAAGUCGAGCGCCCCGCAAGGGGAGCGGCAGACGGGUGAGUAACGCGUGGGAAUCUACCCAUCUCUACGGAACAACUCCGGGAAACUGGAGCUAAUACCGUAUACGUCCUUCGGGAGAAAGAUUAUCGGAGAUGGAUGAGCCCGCGUUGGAUUAGCUAGUUGGUGGGGUAAUGGCCUACCAAGGCGACGAUCCAUAGCUGGCCUGAGAGGAUGAUCAGCCACACUGGGACUGAGACACGGCCCAGACUCCUACGGGAGGCAGCAGGUGGGGAAUAUGGACAAGUGGGACGAAAGCCUGAUCCAGCCAUGCCGCAUGAGUGAUACGGAAGGCCCGUUAGGGUUAGUAAAAGGUCUUCGUUUACAACGGUGAAAGAGUAAGUGAACGGUUAACCGUAAGAAACGAACGCCCCGGACUUAACGUUCGUCGACCAGCACGG
rnacentral:rRNA from 1 species